AAAACCACUUUCAUCUCUGUUGAUUCUUCUAAACUUCUUAAUGACUGUGUCAGCUUCCUAUAAUUGUUCCUCCAGUAUAGGAUUUCCUCCAUCCCCUCCUACCAGCUCAGGCAAUGUCCUUCUGGUUUAUGCUUUAAAAUACUUGGACACACCACACAGACUAAAAGAAGAAACCAGCAUAUAUUGAAUGCAGAUAAUCUUAAAAGCAAAUGGGAAAAACAGACACCUGAACUGUACUUGCAUUUGUUAUGCUUGAUCAGGAUCUGUGAGCAGUCUGUUGGCUUUAAAUGGUUGCCUUAUGAUGACGUCUCAGGAAAAGGAAAAGGAAGCAUGAGAACACUUCUUGGAAGAUCUCCACUGAAGCAACAAAAACAGCUCCCAGUUGGAGCCAAAAUACACCUUUAGCCUCAAACAUCAGUCUUCCAGCAGCAUGAAUGACACAUAGCAAGGUCACCCACCGAUAGAGGCUUGUUCCUGACCUGAAAAGCCUACUGGAAGGAAAAGUACGUGGUAGAGGUGUUUCAGCAGUUAAGAGUGAAAACUGGAGCUUAGCAGACAUUAUUCAAUGACACUAGAUGGCAGAGCAGCUGUUUUGAAUUUGUUAAAAGGGCAUCUUCCCAAGAGCUUUGUUGUUAAUUUGUUUUAUGACAUCACACUUUGAAAGUGUUGACUUAGAUUAGUGUUGACUUAGAUAUCUACAUUGGUUUUUUAUUUUAAUGGGUUUCUUGGUUGAAAACUGAGGUCAAAAGAAUAAGAGGAUCAAAAUAAAUUUUAUCAUGUAACCUAAAGGUGACA
rnacentral:lncRNA from 1 species